CUUAAACUUUGGGCCUAGUCC
rnacentral:piRNA from 1 species